GGUUUGAUUAAAUGGCUCAGAUUGAACGCUGGCGGGAUGCUUUACACAUGCAAGUCGAACGGCGAGGACUCAGUCUGGUGGCGAGUGGCGAACAGGUGAGUAAUGUAUCGGAACGUGCCUAGUAGCGAGGGGAUAACUACGCGAAAGCCAUAGCUAAUACCACAUACGCCCUUCCACGGGGAAAGCAGGGGACCUUCGGGCCUCGCACUAUUAAACGGCGAUAUCGGUUAAGCUAGUUGGUGGGGUAACGGCUCGCAAGGCGACGAUCCGUAGCUGGUUUGAAGGACAAACCAGCCACACUGGGACUGGGGCACGGCCCAGACUCUGCAGGAGGCAGCAGUGGGGAAUUUUGGACUUAAUGGGGGAAACCCUGAUCCAGCCAUCCCGCGUGUGCGAUGAGGCCUUCGGUUUGUAAAGCACUUUUUGGCAGGAAAAAGACGACUGCCCGGGAUAAUACCCCGUGCAACUGACUCGUUACUGCAGAAUAAGCACCGGCUAACUACGUGCCAGCAGCCGCGGUAAUACGUAGGGUGCAAGCGUUAAUCGGAAUUACUGGGCGUAAAGCGUGCGCAGGCGGUUCGGAAAGGAAAGAUGUGAGAAUCCCAAGAGCUUAACUUGGAACUGCAUUUUUAACUACCGAGCUAGAGUGUGUCAGAGGGAGGUGGAAUUCCGCGUGUAGCAGUGAAGAAUGCGUAGAUACCGGAGGAACACCGAUGGCGAAGGCAGCCUCACCGAGGAUAACACACUGACGCUCAUGCACAGCAUUAAAGGGAGCAAACAGGAUUGAAUACCCUGGUAGUCCACGCCCUAAACGUGUCAGCAACUGUUGUUGGGGCCUUCGGAGCCUUGGCCCAGCGCAACUAACGCGUGAAGUUGACCGCCUAGGAGUACGGUCGCAAGAUUAAAACUCAAAGGAAUUGACGGGGACCCGCACAAGCGGUGGAUGAUGUGGAUUAAUUCGAUGCAACGCGAAAAACCUUACCUACCCUUGACAUGUCUGGAAUCCCGAAGAGAUUUGGGAGUGCUCGCAAGAGAACCGGAACACAGGUGCUGCAUGGCUGUCGUCGAAAACGGUGUCGUGAGAUGUUGGGUUAAGUCCCGCAACGAGCGCAACCCUUGUCAUUAGUUGCUACGAAAGGGCGCUCUAAUGGGACUACUGCCGGUGACAAACCGGAGGAAGGUGGGGAUGACUGAUCCAAGUCCUCCUUGGCCCUUAUGGGUAGGGCUUCACACGUCAUACAAUGGUCGGGACAGAGAGUUCGCCAACCCGCGAGGAGGGAGCCAAUCCCAGAAACCCGAUCGUAGUCCGGAUCGCAGUCUGCAACUCGACUGCGUGAAGUCCAGAAUGUCGACAAUCGCGGAUCAGCAUGUCGCGGUGAAUACGUUCCGGGUCUUGUACACACCGCCCGUCGCUGCACCAUGGGAGUGGGUUUACCAGAAGUAGUUAGCUAACCGUAAGGAGGGCGAUUACCACGGUAGGAUUCAUGACUGGGGUGAAGUCGUGACAAGGUAG
rnacentral:rRNA from 1 species